AAUGCUAUUCCUCAAUGCUGAUGACUCCCCUGCUGGUCCAGCCUCAGGGGAAACAGUGGGAAGCUGAUUGACAGCCAUUAAGAAAAUGGAACUGAGUGCCACACAGCAGACGUCAAGGAGGAAUCCAAAGCCCAGCAUCAGCCCCCAGGAGAUUUCCAGCUAGAGAAAGUCUUGCCUAGUGGACAUACACUGGCUGCCAGGCUAGGAUGUCUUCAUCCUCUUCAGUGCUCCAGGAUGCAGAUGGGCUGGAGGAAGCUGGCAACUAAGCAAAGACGGUGCCCAGUGCAUUCAUGCCUACCAGGACAGGAGGCAUCGUGAGAGCCUCAAUCAAAUGCUCAACCGAGGGUCCCGAGGCCAGUGACGCUGCUACAGGUGCCAUGGUGGUCUGUGCUAUUUAGGACCGUGCUAUCCGAGCCGGUGACUUUUCACGCUUCUCAAACCGUAUAAAAAUGAAACGUCAUUGGCAAUCUAUACAUAGAAAGUUCCCGUUUCCGAGCUCGCGCAAAGAGGGAGGUGGCAGAAAGUUUCUAGCCGUGUGAUUUAGCCUGAGGCUGAUGUGGCAAGGAGUAUGCAGGAGACAGGAUUGAAAUUAAUUCUCAUCUACCUACGGACCCUCUUUUCAGAGGAUAACUCCUGAGGAAUGUCAAAAGACACCAUCUGAUAAGAAUUAUUAGAAUUAUUGAGCACUGGGACCAACUUUUAUCUGGAGUUACAGGAUGUACAAGUCCCAGCUCCAGGGAGACAAAAUGAGGUAUGGUGGUGAGGCCCCAGGAAGGAGAUCUGUCAGCAAAGAAUGGAAGGGCUUGAAGGUAACAAAUCUUAAUGGGAUGGAAGAAUGGGCCAGCUCAUGAAUGCAGAAAAACUGACUGGAAAAGCCAGACUCUUCACCACAUUGCCACAUGGUCCAAAACUUGUCACACGUGAGAAGUGAGUGUUAGCAACAAGGACAUGUGUACCUGCUGGCAAGUUCCUGGGAAACUACAUCUGGUCUGAAGAUGAGAAAGGACACAAGCUGAGGGAACAGCACAUCCUAGACACUCAAUGCCCACACCAGGACUCCACUGGCCUUGACCUGUAGCAGAACCCUGCUGCCUCCUAAUGUGAGGCUCUCCUCGCUUCUCAAGACCUGCUCUUGUGGAAGCUGCGUCAACUGUGUAAGUUUUCUGUCUUGCCCCUUCUCUAUUGGGGUACCUACCC